rnacentral:misc_RNA from 1 species
GAGCUCCUAUAGGAAACAACAUUAAAAUUUAACAUAGAAAUUCACUUAAUAAUAUAUAAUUUUUAACUUCAGCAGGCGGCAGUAAACAAUUUUACGACCUUUGAGUUGAAUUAGGAAUUUUCAUCAUUCUCAUUCAGCGCUUCAAUUGCAAAACACAAAACUUUUAAGAAAUUUAUAACAAAUUCUUCAUUCCUCAAAAGACGUUAGUUUAAAAAAUUUCGAAUUCUAAACACAAAUUAUUUGAUUUUCGAUUUAUUUCUUAACGCAUUCGUUUCUAAGAGCUCACACAAACAAUAACGACGCUUAGCAAGGAAAAUAAUAAAAUUUCAUAAUGGGUGAUGCACCAGCUACUCCGGCACCAGCGGCACCUGCACCAGCAACAACCACUUCUGGAGCGGAUAUGUUCGAGAGCAACGCUUGGCUAACUGCCGGCGCUGUUAUGAUGUACUCCACUUGGGCUAUGUGGGUCAAGCUGCGAAAUUUGAAAUUUGCGUCGAAGACUGACAAUGAAUCGAUCGAAGAUGAAUCGACCAAAAAUGAAUCGAUAGAGUUGUGCCUUGAGGGUCAAGCUACGCAAGAUGACGAGCGUCGAAAAAAGUUAAUUGAAACAAGUGGACGGGGAUAGAGACACACGCGCAUUGUAUUUAGAAGACACGGAAGACACUUUGAGGCGUUGAAAUGCUUGCGAUUUUAGGGGGGUCGCAAGUAACUUUUUACGCUUUACAUUCAUAACCACUCGCACAUUAAUACACACAUACACUUUCACUUACACCAAACAAUUUGCUGUUGCCUAAUUGUCGUUUGUGCUACUAUGACAAGUGGGGUGCAAGAAAAUAAACUGCCAAAAUUAAAAACUGUAGAAGCAA